GCAGCCCCCAAAAAUAAAAAAGGCAGAGAACAGAGAGCCUUUAUCUGUUCGUUUUGGCUCCCCCUGAACUCCGGCGUCGACCUCAACGGCGAGCCGCCGUGUGGUCACCGUAGUCAAGGGCGCAGGUAAGGUUUCUUCUCGUCCUUUUUUGUUUUAUACAUAUUCUUAUAUACAUUUGUAUAUACGAUUAAAUAAAAAAAAGAAAAGGAAAGAAUAAAUCAGGAAACAAAAUGAAAAAAAGAAAAGAAGAACACCUUUUCUUUUGAUUUUUCGAUUUUAUUGAUUCAUCCCUAUUUUUCUUUCCAAUCGGUUUCAUCCCCCAUUUGAAAAUACAAAUCAAAAUCGGCUUUUAUAGCCGAUGCCCUAUUUCUGUUUUGCUAUUUUUUUCCUUUUUGUUGCGUGUUUCAUUUCAUUUUGCAGGUGGGCAGAAGAAAGCCGUACAGUGGCAGAGUCAGUGGCGCAGCGGUGGCAGGAGGCUAGGGUGCGGCGCAGUAGCACUAAGGUGGAUGGUGGUAGUGAACAGUAGCCUUUGUCCCUUCAAUCCCACUAGCUUAGAGCUCCUUAUAGCAAAUCAGAAACCCUUGAAGAGGUAAAUGAAGCUUGCAACUUUUCCUUUUUCAAUGUGCUUUGCCGGCCGUUGGAUUGGCCUUCAGUCAAGACUAACUGUUUUUGUAGCUUUCUUUUCGUUGCCAUUGUUCGGGUUUCUAGACUAGUACUUGCAGCCCAGAAGGCCAAAAGGGCCUAAGAUGGGCUUCUUAGAUACUUGGGUUUAAGCUUUGAAAGGGCUUUGAGUACAAUUAUUUUUGGGUGUGGGUUUGAUUUGAAUGAAAUAGCAAUGGUGAAUGGUGCUUUGGCAAGGGGUUCGUUUGCGUGCAAGGUGAUGGUAAGGUUUAGAUGUCAGCCACUGAGGCGUCAGCUAAGGUUGAAGAAAGGAGAUAAGGAGAAAAAAAGGAAAUUAACAAGUUCUUAAUUUAAAUUUAGAAGAAAAAAGGUAUCAGUCAAAAGUAAACAAAUUUGCCACGUCAGGACCCAAUAAGUCAUCCGGCCAUGCCAGCAAAAAAUACCUUGUAAUUAGGGUCAAACACUAAAUUGGUAAACACGAUCAAAUUUCUGGUAUCAAAUUGCAUAUUUUGAAAAUACAAAUAUCAUAUUUGAAGAUCUGAUAAA